rnacentral:misc_RNA from 1 species
GUAUAUUUGUGCAGAUGCGGUCGUACGUGAUAUCUAUCAAGUGUGUCUUCGGUAACACAGUAAUUCCGGGAGUGAACGUGUGUGCUCGAAAAAGUAUAGUGUGGACUCUGUUCUGUUCGCGGGACGCGUAAUGUCGUUGUAUUUGACGUUGACUAGUAUUUACGAAUUGUUCAUGUCGCGAUAAAUUUCCUAACGUUACUAAACGAUUGUUUUGGAGGAACUUCGUAUUUAUAAUAUACUUCACAGAACCAAAGAAAACUGUCUAUUAGAUAAUUUUACUGUUAUUGUGAAAUAUGAGACGCUAUCAAUUGAGAGAUUCUAUCCUCUCUUCCUAUUGGCUUGUGAAGAACGUCGCGACUCAAUUCUCGCGCUAAUCGUAGCGAAUCGCGUGAUAUUUUGAUCCCUGUCACAAGAAUAUAUCGAGCCCAUCAUUGGCGCUGCAGCUUCUUUGCCGUAGGUCAAGAACCAAUUAGAGUGAUUGUUACCGCCGUGAUCGUUACGAUUUAUUUGAUCGUUCUCGUCACUUUACGGUAAUCGCGCGCGUUACGUAGACGUUUCGUAGUAAUCGCGUACAUUUUUUCGAUUUUAUGCGUAUAUUUUGUGCGGAUGCGAUCGUACAUAAUGUCGAUCAAGUGUGUCUUCGAUAACGCAGUAAUUCCGGGAGUGAAUGUGUCUGCUCGGAAAAGUAUAGUGUGGACUUCGUCCUGCUCGCGGAAUCGCGUAAUGGCGUAUUUGACGAUGACUAGUAUUUACGAAAUUGUCCAUGUCGCGAUAAAUUUUGUAACGUUACAAUCGUUUUUUGGAAGAACUUCGUAUUUAUAAUAUACUUCACAGAAGCAAAAGAAACUGUUUAUUAGAUAAUUUUACUGUUACUGUGAAAUAUGAAACAUUACCGAUUAGACGCUAUCCUCUCUUCCUAUUGGCUUGUCAAGAACGUCGCGACUCACACUCGCGCUAAUCGCAGCGAAUCGCGUGACAUCUUGAUCCCUGGCGCAAGAAUACAUCGAAUCUCUUAUUGGCACUGCAGCUUCUUUACCGUAGGUCAAGAACCAAUUACAGUGAUCGUUACGAUUUGAUCGUUCUCGUCACUUUACGGUAAUCGCGCGCGUUACGUGGACGUCUCGUAGUAAUCGCGUACAUUUUUUCGAAUUUAUGCGUAUAUUUGUGCGGAUGUGGUCGUACAUAAUGUCGAUCAAGUGUGUCUUCGGUAACGCAGUAAUUCCGUAAAUAAACAUGUGUGCUCGAAAAAGUAUAGUGUGAACUCUGUCCUGCUCGCGGGACGCGUAAUGUCGUAUUUGACGUUGACUAGUAUCUGUGAAAUUGUUUAUGUCGCGAUAAAUUUUUUAACGUUACUAAACGAUCGUUUUAGAGGAACUUCGUAUUUAUAAUAUACUUCACAGAACCAAAGAAAACUGUUUAUUAGAUAAUUUUAUUGUUACUGUGAUUUUAUGAAACGCUACUAAUUGAGAGACUCUAUCCUCUCUUCCUAUUGGCUUGUGAAGAACGUCGCGAUUCAAUUCUCGCGCUAAUCGUAGCGAAUCGCGUGACAUCUUGAUCCCUGUCGCAAGAAUAUAUCGAACCUCUCAUUGGCGCUGCAGCUUCUGUACCGUAGGUCAAGAACCAAUUAGAGUGAUUGUUAAAGCCGCCGUGAUCGUUACGAUUUGAUCGUUCUCGUCACUUUACGGUAAUCGCGCGCGUUACGUGGACGUUUCGUAGUAAUCGCGUACAUUUUUUCGGAUUUAUGCGUAUAUUUGUGCGGAUGCGGUCGUACGUGAUAUCUAUCAAGUGUGUCUUCGGUAACGCAGUAAUUCCGGGAGUGAACGUGUGUGCUCGAAAAAGUAUAGUGCGGACUUCGUCCUGCUCGCGGAAUCGCGUAAUGGCGUAUUUGACGAUGACUAGGUAUAUUUACGAAAUUGUCCAUGUCGCGAUAAAUUUUGUAACGUUACUAAACAAUCGUUUUGGAGGAACUUCGUAUAAUAAAUAGUCGUGAUCAAAUAUUCGUCUUUGUAAUACGCCGCUUCGAAAUGAAUAUCGCGUCACGGAGUGCAAAAAAUGGGAACGACUCGAAUAGCCGUUAUAAAUUUUUGGUCAUGUUGGACAUCGUCCCGAAAUGAGAAGUCGUUAUGGACACCAGCAUAUAUGAUUGAGACUUGUACGUUGCGAGCAUAACUCAGCUCUCCUAUUUGCAGUUGUGUCGACAACGAUGUUUGGAGGCACCGAAACAAAAUAGACGGUUACGGUAAUUAUUCCAUAUCUUUAUUUCUCAUACCACUGAGAGGAAGAGGAGGAGGAGGAGGAGGAAGAGGAGGAGAUGAUUCGAGAGGCACAUCAGCGGAGUAACUUUAGGGUUUUUCUUUUGUCAUGAUAUGACAAAGUUCGCGUCGAGAAAACGGGUAAUAUGAUACAAAAUAUCGUGCGAUUGUCUCGCGAGAAAGAAGCAACAUCGAUGCAUCAUUGAAAAGAGAGGAAGAUCCGGAGAGCAUCUGCGGAGCAAGGGCAUCGUCUGAGGAUCGAACGAGACGCGAACCACAUUAGGAUGGUUCGAGGGUGAAAUCGCUAAGAGACGUUCGUCAGUAUGCUGCGGAUAUUGAUAGUGGUGACGUGCAUCGAGAUAUCGACGCUCGCCAGUGCACAGUCGAAAGGGACCACCUCCUUCGACGACGAUGCGAACAGCGAUGAACCGGAUCAUCCAAUACCCAUGGAGUCGAUACAGGGGGUGGCAGGCCAGAGAGCGAUUCUGCCGUGUAACAUACAGCCCCGCGAGUCGAACGACGCCGUCUCUAUGGUGCUCUGGUUCAAAGAGGACAGCGGCGAACCCCUGUACAGUUAUGACGCGAGAAGUCGCCAGUUUGGAAAGGCGAAGCUCUGGAGCGCCCAGAAUUUUUGGGGUCACCGAGCAUCUUUUCGCGCGAAUCCACCAGCACAGCUGACAGUUCAAGAUCUCCGAGAGAGUGACGAGGGUGUUUACAGGUGCAGGGUCGACUUUCGGAACUCGCCGACGAGAAACUUCAAAGUUAACCUCACCGUUAUCGUGCCACCGGCGAAGCCGAUAAUCUAUGACGCGAAGAGGCGAGACAUGAGCAAACUCCUCGAGGCUUACCCGGAGGGUGCUGACUUAUUUCUGGUCUGCGAAGUACACGGCGGUAAACCUAGACCGCAGGUCUCGUGGUAUCUGCAAUCGCAGAAUAUUCAGGCGUCCACCGAGGUUCGAGAGACGCAAGGGCCGGGCGGCGAGACCAAUGUCGUAACUAUCAGCAACGUGACUGUAAAGGCUCUCACGAGGGGGCAUCAUCACGCCAAGUUGUCCUGUCGAGCGAAUAACACUCAAUUAGCACCGCCGCCUGCCACCACCGUCAUCAUAGAGCUUAACAUGAAGCCGCUCAAGGUGGAGAUUUUAGGGAAGAAUCAGAUGCUAUCGGCGGGGAAGACAUAUGACGUGAAAUGUCAGAGUACCGGCUCGAAGCCGCCGGCGGUCCUAACCUGGUGGAAAUCCUCGAAGCAGUUGAAGGGACUGAAGAAAAACGACGGUGUGAGUCUGCUGCAAUUCACGCCGACGGUAGAAGACGAGGGGAAGUUCCUGGUGUGCCGUGCCGAGAAUCCGAAGCUGCCGGAAGCCGGCAUCGAGGACCGAUGGAAGCUGAAAGUGCACUUCGCGCCCAUCGCCAGCUUGAAGAUGGGCUCCACCCUGAAUCCGAAGGACAUCAAGGAGGGCUCCGAUGUUUACUUCGAGUGCAACGUCAGGGCGAAUCCUAGAGCGAUCAAACUGACCUGGUUCCACGAGGAAGAGGAGCUGCGUCACAACGCCACCGCCGGUGUGGUGCUUUCGGACCACUCGCUAGUGCUGCAGAGCAUAACUCGAGAGUCCGCCGGAGGGUACACGUGCAUGGCCACGAAUGUCGAGGGCCGCACCAAGUCCAACGUAGUCAAUCUCGAAGUUAUGUUCGCGCCCGUUUGCAAGCACGUGCUGAACUCAGGCGGUAACUGGCGACAUCAGAACGCCACGCCACCGCCGUACAACGUGCCCGAAGAGGUGCACGGCGCCCUGAAGCACGAGACUGUAAGUUUAGUUUGCGAGGUCGAGGCCAGCCCCACCACGGUGACCUUCCAUUGGACCUUCAACAGUAGCGGCGACCUCACCGACGUUCCGUCCUCUAAGUACACCAGCGACGGCACCACCAGCAGGCUUAAUUACACCCCGUCGACCGAUAUGGAUUACGGGGUCCUGGGCUGCUGGGCUAGCAACGCCGUCGGCCACUCCAAACAGCCCUGCCUCUACCAGGUCAUUGCCGCAGGCAGACCUUACCCAUUGCAAAACUGCACCGCUUACAACCUGAACGGCUCCUGGGUGAGGAUAUCUUGCGUCGAAGGAUACGAUGGCGGUCUGCCGCAGAAAUUCGUCGCUAUGGUGGGCAAACGGCGUCUGGAGUCGCCGAGCCCUUACUGGGAAUUUCAACUGUUCAAGUCGGCGAAGGUCGCUCUUUACGCGGUAAACGAGAAAGGUUCCAGCGAGCCGUACGCCAUAGAGGUCGCCUUGAAAGGGGUAGCCAAGUACACUGGCGAAUCAACUUCGGUCGACAUGUCACCGAUCCUGAUUGGACUUGGUGGCACGGCGACUGGUCUGGGACUAAUCGUGACCGGUGUGCUAAUGGCACUCUGGAGGAGGCACGCAGCCACCCCGACAAAGCCGAAGCCGCCGCAGCAGCCUAGCAUCGCAACUUUUGCGGGGAAAGGCGAGGAGGAAGACGGAAAUCCGGAUCUAAUACCCACAACGGCCUUGACCAAUCAUCUCACUGACAGAAAGCUUCCUCGUUACGGGUCCCUGCCACGAAGACCACGUCAGCUGGAAGGACGCGAGAUGUCCCACGACGUUCUAGAAGAUUCAGAUUAUCCGAGAGCAUCGCCGAACACAUUUUAUAGUCUUCAAAGGCCGCACUCGGAGUCGAUCGGCAGGAGCAUUCAGGAGAGCUGCAUUUAAGGGUCAGACACCGGUUGGGAUAUUAAGAGAAGUGGGCGACCGACGGUCUAGACGGAUGGACGGAAAGAUCCAGACGUCUGCUGCAUCGUCUAACUUCCGGGUCAUCGACCAUGAUUCAACAGGGUAUAGGAGGCCCCUGGACCAUAGCUGAUGGAGGUUGGAGCAGGGAGGAGAAGCCCAUAUUUGCGCGCGUUCAAGCGUACCAAAGACAUUUAUAUAGCCAUUUGAUUCACACUCUCUACUGCCUUUAUCUUUUUUUGAAAACGGAUUUAAGAUUCCUCCGAUCUGGCAAUCUAGCGUUGCAAUUCAAUUUUUUUAAACUUUGCAACACACUACAGAUUAUGAUUUCUUUUCUGGAAAAGCCUGAUAUUGAAUUUUUCAAGGAGGUAUUAGUCCCGUAAAUUGGAAAGUGGAUCGCGCGGAGAAUCUGGCAUUUAUUUUACACAAGCGCGCGAGCUUAUCUACGCAUUCAAAGGACCUCCUGUCGCUUUUAUGGAAAAAUCCACGUUUUCUUUCUGCCAGCGACGACAGCAUGGUGUGCGCGCGCGCGCGCGUUAUCCUGCAAGCAGAAGCGCAACGAGGGCGUAGGAGAGCGAUAUCACAAGGAAGCAUUUCCACAUUAUUUAUAUGCAACGAAUGAUAGAGAAUUAUAACACGGUGUGGAGUUUAUACGGUUUGCUGUGGAGUACGGCGCGUAUUUUGGAUUGAGCACGUAAUUGGCCAUUGGAAAUGCAAAGUACAUCGUAUCUGCCAUUCGCUUGCAUUACCCUGCUAUGCCCUGUUACUAUGCGCUCAUGCGCUCUUUUUCUGCAUCCGAAUGACACCGAACAAAAGUGUGCAAGGUAGAUAAAAAGUGCACUAGUUUCAAACAACCGGCUGCAAACCGAUAUACACUGGUAUAUUUUCAAGGCACAUUUAACUCAAAUGCGACCGUUUGUUGUUAAGCUUUAACGUGUGAAAUUAGCUCCGCACUUUUCGAAUUUUAUAUUUUUCUUAAGGCUCCUGGUCUCGUAGCCGUGAACUCCGCGUUGACAGUGGCGACAUAAUUGUGGUAGGAAUAAAAACCUAGUCGAAUUUACCUAGUCGAUUUAUUGUAUAAGUAAAUAGUGUAACAGUUUGACCUAAUCAAUUGAUACGAUAAAAGUAAAUUACUGAAUAACA